CGAGCGAAUGAUGAAGAAGCUUGCUUCUUCUGAUUUAGCGGCGGACGGGUGAGUAACACGUGGGCAACCUACCUAGUAGAUUGGGAUAACUCCGGGAAACCGGGGCUAAUACCGAAUAAUCUUUUUCACCUCAUGGUGAAAUGUUGAAAGGCGGUUUCGGCUGUCACUACUAGAUGGGCCCGCGGUGCAUUAGCUAGUUGGUGGGGUAAUGGCCUACCAAGGCAACGAUGCAUAGCCGACCUGAGAGGGUGAUCGGCCACAUUGGGACUGAGACACGGCCCAAACUCCUACGGGAGGCAGCAGUAGGGAAUCUUCCACAAUGGACGAAAGUCUGAUGGAGCAACGCCGCGUGAGUGAUGAAGGUUUUCGGAUCGUAAAACUCUGUUGUAAGGGAAGAACAAGUACGUUAGUAACUGAACGUACCUUGACGGUACCUUAUUAGAAAGCCACGGCUAACUACGUGCCAGCAGCCGCGGUAAUACGUAGGUGGCAAGCGUUGUCCGGAUUUAUUGGGCGUAAAGCGCGCGCAGGUGGUUUCUUAAGUCUGAUGUGAAAGCCCACGGCUCAACCGUGGAGGGUCAUUGGAAACUGGGAGACUUGAGUGCAGAAGAGGAAAGUGGAAUUCCAAGUGUAGCGGUGAAAUGCGUAGAGAUUUG
rnacentral:rRNA from 1 species